rnacentral:rRNA from 1 species
AUUGAACGCUGGCGGCAGGCCUAACACAUGCAAGUCGAGCGAGCGGCGGACGGGUGAGUAAUGUAUGUGGCUCUACCCGAUAGAGGGGGAUAACUACUGUAAACGGUGGCUAAUAACGCAGACUAACGGAUGAAACCAUAUGGGAUUAGCGAGUAGGUGGGGUAAAGGCUCACCUAGGCGACGAUCUCUAGUUGGUCUGAGAGGAUGACCAGUCACACUGGGACUGAGACACGGCCCAGACUUCUACGGGAGGCAGAAGUGGGGAAUAUUGGACAAUGGGCGAAAGCCUGAUGCAGCCAUGCCGCGUGGAUGAAGAAGGCCUUAGGGUUGUAAAGUACUUUCGGCGGGUAGGCGUUACCCGCAGAAGAAGCACCGGCUAACUCCGUGCCAGCAGCCGCGGUAAUUC